UUAACUAAUUCAAACAUCACUCUUUUAGGUUUCAAAGUCAUGGAAUUUCGAUACUCUUCCUAAUAAGUUAAAUAACGAUGUCUUAACUAAAUAUUUUUAUGUUUGCAAGAAAGAAGAAGUUGAAAGCUUUCAUAUUCUGAAAGAUAGGCUAAAUCAAUUUUUAAAUGAAUUUUAUAUAUCCAAAAAUAUUUCAAAUGCUGUCAAAUUGUUCAAUAUUAAAAGAAAAGAUUCUGCCUCAACAUCAUAUUGUGUAAGGUACAUAUUAGCGCCAAGACACUACCGUGUCUCCAGAUUUUCAUCCUUAAAUUCUGAUUGACUUUUAAUUAAAAUUCGUAAUAUAGAUCGUACGUUAGUGAAUGCCACUAAGUCGCAAGCUAUCAAAUAUAACAGAUUGUUAUUUACUGAAGAAACCGUGAAGAAAAAAAAUACAAUACAAUAACGAUGUUCACAAAAAAGUCAUAUUGAAAAAUUUUCAAUCUCAAGAGAGAUGAGCUACAGCAAGUUUUUAAAUAAUUUUAUUUACUUCUGCUUCAAUAUAUCCAUUAAGAUAUGCCGUCAACAAAUUGCUUACUAUCGUAAAAGGAAUAAUCUGCUUGAACAUCCUAUGCAACUGUAUAAGAUAAAAUUUUAUUUUGAAUGAAUCUUAAUAGUAAUUUAAGACUACAUCACAAUAAUUGUAACCGAGACCAUAAACCAUAAGAUAACAAAUAUCAUUAAGAAGUAGACUGUCAGAUGCAUCAAAUCACCACCCACUGAAAAAACAUCUAAGAAGAAAAAAGAAAAAACAUCUAAGAAGAAAAAAGGAAGAAUCGUAUCUAUAGUUUUGUUCCUUCUAAAUGCUAAAUAAACUUGUUUACUCUGAUUCAAUACGAUGUUCGAGAAGGAAGUUCAAUCUUCUACAAUAAAAAAAGAACUUAUAUCUAUGUGUAGAAGAACAUGAAAAAAUGCAGUGGCGUGAUUGUCGUUUAUGCUCCUGAAGAAGUCGCCAAUUUUUAACUACUUACGCUAAGUCGCCAAUUUUUAACUACUUGCGCUAAGUCGUAAUUCGAUGAUUGAAAUAAAAAUUGAACAUAUGAUACCGAAAAUUAUUACAUUAAAAGCUUCCAAGAUGUUAAAACACAACGCGAUGUAGAGUUGCCACCUUUUUGGGUUUGAUCCAAAAACUCCGGAUUUUGAAGAUUUAUGUCCGAGUUUGGGUUUCGUUACUUCUCCAGGUUGCAUGAAAUGUAAAACAUCUUAUGUAGUUUUUAACAAAAAAAAAAUUCUGAAUGGCAUUGGGAAAAAACUGAGAAGGGCGUUUCGAGUAAGAUGUAUACAUUAUGAUGUUAUAUUUGUCGAUGAACUGUUAAGAAUUUUAUGAAUUUAUCAAGAAAUUUGAAAAUAUGGAGCUUGUUAAAACUGCAAAUAUUUAUGGAAAUGAAGCCAAUAAAAAUAAUUUAUAUACUUACUAUGUAAUCGUGCGCAUC